AACGAACGCUGGCGGCAGGCUUAACACAUGCAAGUCGAACGCGUGCAGCAAUGCACGAGUGGCGCAUGGGUGAGUAACGCGUGGAUAUCUGCCUUUUGGUUCGGAAUAACCCCGGGAAACUGGGGCUAAUACCGGAUGGUUCCUACGGGAUAAAGAUUUAUCGCCAAAAGAUGAGUCCGCGUCCGAUUAGCUAGUUGGUGAGGUAAUGGCUCACCAAGGCGACGAUCGGUAGCUGGUCUGAGAGGACGAUCAGCCACACUGGGACUGAGACACGGCCCAGACUCCUACGGGAGGCAGCAGUGGGGAAUAUUGGACAAUGGGGGCAACCCUGAUCCAGCCAUGCCGCGUGAGUGAUGAAGGCCUUCGGGUUGUAAAGCUCUUUUGGCGGGGACGAUGAUGACGGUACCCGCAGAAUAAGCCCCGGCUAACUUCGUG
rnacentral:rRNA from 1 species